UACGAAGGGGACUAGCGUUGUUCGGAAUCACUGGGCGUAAAGCGCUCGUAGGCGGCUAUGUCAGUCAGGGGUGAAAUCCCGGGGCUCAACCUCGGAACUGCCCUUGAUACAGCAUAUCUUGAGUCCGAUAGAGGUGGGUGGAAUUCCUAGUGUAGAGGUGAAAUUCGUAGAUAUUAGGAAGAACACCGGUGGCGAAGGCGGCCCUCUGGAUCGGUACUGACGCUGAGGUGCGAAAGCGUGGGGAGCAAACAGG
rnacentral:rRNA from 1 species